GGCGGGGCGGCUGGAGAAAGGGCGGGUCUUCAUGCGCAAGAGGCGGGGGCAGCCUAAGGGGCGGGGCCUCAAGACUCGAGGGCUGAGAGGGGAGGAGUCCAAGGGAGGAGGAGGGGGCGGACCGGCAAGGCGCGGGGUCUUAGGAGUGAAGGAACCGAGGGGCGAAGCCUGAAGACGUGUGGUGGGGGUCCCGCAGCGCAGGUCCUGUGGAUCUGCACCGCAGAGUCAGCUGGAGGAAAUUUGAGUCAGUGGGGACAGGCGUUUUGCAGAGGGACUCACAUGCGGUCUCUAGGUGGCAACCAGGCCUGUGCUCCCCACGCAGCUCUUCACCUGCCUGCGUCAACUUCCUGUUCGGCCUUUGGAGGAUUGGACCGCGGAAGGAAGUUUUCCCUGCCGUGGCUGGCCUCCCACGAUGUCAUAUUGACUUCUUAGAGCCCCUGUACUCCUACCCCGCCCCUUUUGUUGUUUAUUCGGACUCUUGAGAAUCUCAGUGGAUAACCAGGCUGCCUGGGAACUUGCCAUGUAGCCUGGGCUAGCCUCGAAAUAAUGAUAAUCCUUUGUGGGCUGGUUUUAUAGGAUUAAAUAAACUUACCCGCUUUAUCUUUCUAAUUGUUUAAUUUUACUUUCUUUAUAAGGUCAUAUGAGUCAUCUUUUUUAGAUUAAAAACUACAUUCCCAUGCAAAUUUGAAACAUCGCCUUUAUAAGGAAAAGAAGCUACUAAGAAAACAAAAUAAGGAGCUGGCAAGAUGUUUCAGCCAGUAAGGAUACUUGCAGUAAGGACACGUGCAGCCCAGCCUGAAGCCCAGCUUUCGAUCCCCAGAACCCACACGGUUGAACUUACUACUCAAAUUGUCCUCUGAACACAGGGGCUCUAAACACUUGGACACUGUCUGGACAAUUCUUAGAGAAGACAAGUUUCACGUGUUCAAACUGGGCCUCAUACUUGUGAUUCCAGAUACUCAGGAGGAUGCAAGUUCAAUCCACACCAUCACAAAAAUGGUGGGGGAGGGUCAGACACGCAGAGAGGAUACAGUUGGUGGGAUGAAAAAGCAGGGUGGUGGUGGCACAUGUCUUUAAAUCCCAGCACUCAGGAGGCAGAGGCAGACGGAUCUCUGAGUUCCAGGCCAGCGUGGUCUACAGAGUGAGUUCCAGGACAACCAAGGCUACACAGAGAGACCUGCCUGUCUUGAAGGGAAAAAAGAGAAAAGAAAGAAAAAAGUAAAAGCUACCUUUCAGUGAGAACAUUUCAAAUCCAUAAAAAGUAAGUAAAAGUGGGGAAGUUAAAAAGAGGAAGGAAAACCAAGAAAGGAAGUAAUUUACAGCAAUCACAAGAGUUUAGCUCCAGAUUGCCAAUCUCAAAUAUAUAAAAGAUUGUAGAAUGAACUAUAACCAGGGGCAGAGCUCAUUUUCUAUAAUCCCAGUGCUGGGAUGAGAGAGGAAAAUUG
rnacentral:lncRNA from 1 species